rnacentral:rRNA from 1 species
GGACUGGUAUUGACGCUGAGUGUUGCGGUGCUUAGCGCUCACGCCGGCUGAUUUAAGGUAAGGAAGGGGAGGGUAGGUAAAUGAGGGCAAGACUGGAAUAUGUGCUAUGGCCGGGCGAGCUGGCGGCCAAAACGACUGAAAAGCUGGGCGCUACGGCACUUGGUCUUAUAAGGAGCACUUAUGGCUUGCUGGAUAGCCGGCGUCUUGCACAGACGCUGGAAGCCAACCAUGUGCAGAACCUUACCAGCGU